rnacentral:rRNA from 1 species
UACAGAGGGGGCAAGCGUUAUUCGGAAUUAUUGGGCGUAAAGGGCGCGUAGGCGGCUUGGCAAGUGGAUGGUGAAAUCCCUCGGCUUAACCGAGGAACUGCCGUCCAAACUGCUUCGCUUGAGACCGGGAGAGGUGAGUGGAAUUCCCAGUGUAGCGGUGAAAUGCGUAGAUAUUGGGAGGAACAUCCGUGGCGAAGGCGGCUCUCUGGGACGGUACUGACGCUGAGACGCGAAAGCGUGGGGAGCGAACAGG